UGGCGGGGUAAGGGCCCACCAAGGCGACGAUCAGUAGCCGGACUGAGAGGUUGAACGGCCACAUUGGGACUGAGAUACGGCCCAGACUCCUACGGGAGGCAGCAGUGGGGAAUAUUGGGCAAUGGGGGAAACCCUGACCCAGCAACGCCGCGUGAAGGAAGAAGGCCUUCGGGUUGUAAACUUCUUUUACCAGGGACGAAGGACGUGACGGUACCUGGAGAAAAAGCCACGGCUAACUACGUGCCAGCAGCCGCGGUAAUACGUAGGUGGCAAGCGUUGUCCGGAAUUACUGGGUGUAAAGGGCGUGUAGGCGGAGCUGCAAGUCAGAUGUGAAAUCUCCGGGCUUAACCCGGAAACUGCAUUUGAAACUGUAGCCCUUGAGUAUCGGAGAGGCAAGCGGAAUUCCUAGUGUAGCGGUGAAAUGCGUAGAUAUUAGGAGGAACACCAGUGGCGAAGGCGGCUUGCUGGACGACAACUGACGCUGAGGCGCGAAAGCGUGGGGAGCAAACAGGAUUAGAUACCCUGGUAGUCCACGCUGUAAACGAUGAAUACUAGGUGUGGGGGGACUGACCCCCUCCGUGCCGCAGU
rnacentral:rRNA from 1 species